GACGAACGCUGGCGGCGUGCCUAAUACAUGCAAGUUGAGCGCUGAAGGUUGGUACUUGUACCAACUGGAUGAGCAGCGAACGGGUGAGUAACGCGUGGGGAAUCUGCCUUUGAGCGGGGGACAACAUUUGGAAACGAAUGCUAAUACCGCAUAAAAACUUUAAACACAAGUUUUAAGUUUGAAAGAUGCAAUUGCAUCACUCAAAGAUGAUCCCGCGUUGUAUUAGCUAGUUGGUGAGGUAAAGGCUCACCAAGGCGAUGAUACAUAGCCGGCCUGAGAGGGUGAUCGGCCACAUUGGGACUGAGACACGGCCCAAACUACUACGGGAGGCAGCAGUAGGGAAUCUUCGGCAAUGGACGAAAGUCUGACCGAGCAACGCCGCGUGAGUGAAGAAGGUUUUCGGAUCGUAAAACUCUGUUGGUAGAGAAGAACGUUGGUGAGAGUGGAAAGCUCAUCAAGUGACGGUAACUACCCAGAAAGGGACGGCUAACUACGUG
rnacentral:rRNA from 1 species